AGCAGUCUGGAGCACAAAGAAUCCCUAAUCACUGACAUUAAGAAAGAAGAAAAAUAUUCCUAGGACGAUCCUGGAGAGCAAAGGUCAUCAGCAGUCACUUGACUUUCCUUGGAUUUCUCAACUGCAGUAGUCACAUGGUCUGCUGAAAAUGAAUUCUCUUUAUUUUCAUCUGAUUUCAAGGAAUUAUGGUUUUCAGUGAUUUCUUCAUUUGGAUCUAUUUUGAGACAGAGUAAUAGCAUUAAAACCCCCUUCUGAAUUAAUAAGGUAACAUGGGCUUAAAAUCACUCAAUUCACUAUUGGAUUCUUUGGAGCUGUUAAUCUGUUCAGUGAAAAGAACAAGAACUUUGGAACUCAAGAUUUAACUAUGGUUCCAUCACUGACCUUGGGCAUUUGUUGCUGAAACGCAAAGUGUGACAAGCCAAUGGAGAGACAGGAUCUCACUUUUUUUGCCCACUACUGGGCUCAAGCGAUCCUCCUGCCUCCAUCUCCCCAAGUGCUGGGAUUACAGCCAUGAGCCACCAUGCCCGGCCCCAGCUCGCAACUUUCUGUGUGACCUCAGAUAGGAGGUUCUUCAACUGACAGCUACACAUCCACCCCUGCUACUUUCUUCAUUGCCUCCACAGUUUCUAUAAGGAAAAGGCAAAAUCUUCAUACCUGCAGAAUUAGCGCCACAUAGAUGCUGCCAAAGGGUUUUCUGCCUGUGCCCUCUGGAGAGGUGACAUCACAUCCCCCAC
rnacentral:lncRNA from 1 species